GAAAAAAAGUAUUCCACCCUCUCCCAUCACCUCGUUUGUUCUGGAAACCCUCGCCGGCGCCGCCCACUCGUGCUUCAUCGCCGGCAACUGGUGGGAUGGACACUGCGGUCAUGGAGUUUUUGCUUGACGUGGUUGACAGGUUCCCAAUAAGAGAGGAAUUCGCUGACAGCCUUGAACAGCCGGAUCCGGUUUUGCUGCAUUACCUGAUAGGAAACAGGGCAGUGAAUGCAGAAGCAGGUGAUUCUGAUGGUGGAUCUAGCAUGGCUCAAAAGGAUGGCGAGGAUGGGGCGGAUGUACCAUGAGAAGGUGCCCGUCGGCGACAUGCUGCUUCACCGACGAGGUCAGCUCAGCACACUGACAGAGUAAAUCUAGAGGCCCCUGGGUGGACCAAAAGACCAAUGCAGAGCUAUGGAAGUGGCGAUCAGCAAGACUUACCCUGGCAUCGUGCACCGAUGGUGCAAGUGGCAUGUCCUGAAGAAAGAAAAAGAAACAUUGGGUCCACUGUACACGAAGAAGAUUGAUUUUCUCGGAUAAAUCAGAAAAUAAAAUGAGAAAAAUUGUGGUACUGAAGACUAAGACUCUUUUUUCUCUCUUGAUGAUCACACAAUUGAUGGAGAUUCUACGCCUCGAAGAGAUCCCUAAGCACCAUGUCGUGAAGCGGUGGACGAGAGACGCAAGGGAUAUACUGCCAGAUCACUUGGUCCGGUACUAGUGAGAUAAUUCAGUAAACCUAUCGUUCACGUGUAGGCAUGCAAUGUUGUACCUGAAGGCCAUGGAAGUCGUGUAGAUGGGGGAUGCAAGUGCUGCAUGUUAUGACCAUGUGAAUGCAGGUCUCGGCGCUCUGCUGCUGAGUGGAGCCCCAUUGGCGGAGAAAAGGGAUGGUUUGGCAUUUGAGGACCAAUUGGUUGAAACAAUGGGUGCAAGGCUACAUGGCACCUUGGACAUUGCAAAUGUGGAAGGAGGAGAUGGACGAUGCCACGGUGCUGGGCAUUCUGCUAGUGUGAAUGGGCUGCAUGGUCUUUCAGCCCCGGAUAAGCAUAGAGGCACUGGAAGGCCGACAAACAGCAGAGACAGAGCCCCAUACAAAGGGUUAAGUAAACCAACUAGAUUCUGCAGCAUUUGUCAACGAGAAGAUCACAAAAGGACCACAUGACCGGAUAGAGGGGAUGCACCAAAGAAGUCACGGAAGCCAGGGAAAUGCAAGAACUGCGGAAUAGAAGGGCAUCGGCGGAAUACCUGCAAAAUCCCAAUUGGUUUUACUGGGAACUGAGCUAUAAAAAUUUCAGUUCGGGCUAAAUGUUCUUAACCAGGGGAUUUUCCAGCGUGUUUGAAAUGGACACUCCUCCACUCUAUAUUCCUUCAGUCUAGAUGGUCGUGUGUCCUGCUGUAUCUAAGAGCAUGAACUCUGUGUGUGUAUGUCUGAAUUGCGAUGAACCAUGUAUGGUUUUUGUUUGAAUUCUGAUGAACUAAUUUACUUGCAGACAAAUUGUGUUCCUCCCUAGGAAAAAAAUUCUGCAAACACCAAGAAAAAUGGGACAUAUGCCCAGUCUAGCCGAUUAUUUGUCUUUCGUCCGAAAUGGUGUGUGCUUUGCUUCCUGAACUGAAGAUGUGCUGGGUUGACACAUGGGCACCAUGCAUGAUCACGACGGAGUAGGUCUUCAGCGGGCACUCUCAUUUUCAAUAUUCAGAAAACUGAUGGGCAGAUUAAAUGCGUGCGGGGUCCUGGGGUAGCCCCGGAUGCAGUAUAAAACAGGGAUUGCCUCAGUUCAGCAAUUGCCAAUAGUUCAAACAUAAUUGAAAGCUAGCGGCUACAUCAGACAGGGCGCUCGUUUGUUCAAUCGGCGGCGAGUGGCUCAACCUGAACGUCCGGUGGGCGUGACACUUUUGGCCUCUCGAAAGAUCAAGUGAUCAUGGAUUCCCCCCUUCUUGACCAAUCCAUCUAUAGUGAUUCUCUAGAGGAGAUGAGGUGUUGCGUCGUUUGCUGAUGGAAUCUGCUCCUCGCAGACAUUGUCAUACACGAGCAUGGAUUCAGCAUCAAGCGCGUGGAGUACAACGCAACUGCCGGAGAUGGAGCUGGAAAU